UGUUCUCCGUCCCUCCAAUGACUUCCCAUGGCGUCAAUCAAGAACCAAACUACAGAGACUCUGCCUUUGGAACCCACCCCUUAAGCCCUAAUGGAUGGAACAGAAAUACCACGAGAAGAUUUGAAAUCAGUGCCGGGUAUUUUCUUCUUCAAUUGAUCAUCCAUUUCAAUCUCUAAUGAUUUAUACAAAGAAUUUGAGUUCCCUUUUGAAGUUUUACUUAUGUUCCGCUAUGGGCGAGGCAUUCGCCUUCUUAGUUCAUCUUCAACAGGUAGAAGGAUCAACUGGGAUCCAACUGUGAACCUUAAACUCAAUCACCCAUCUCUUGUUUUGCUUGAAAAAUGCAACUCAAGAAUCCAAUUCAAGCAGAUUUUAGGGCACAUGAUGAGAAACAAUUUGAUGGGCCAAACAUUUCCCAUGAGUAGGCUUCUUUUUUUCUCUGCUAUUUCACAUCCUGAGAAUCUGGAAUGGGCAGUUCUUCUGUUUAAUCACUUCACUCCUGAUCCAAAUGUUUUUAUAUUCAACACCAUGAUCUUAGCCUUUUCAUUUUCAACUGAGAAGGCUUUUUCCAUUUAUAGUUCUAUGCUCCAAAAGGGCAUUUACCCAGAUAGGCAAACACUCAUUUAUCUUCUUCAGACUACAAAAUGUGUUGCUGAAUUGAAACAGAUUCAUGUUCAUGCCUUAGUUAUUGGUUUGCUGGCUAAUGAAGGGUACUUGCAAAAUUCACUGAUCAAGAUGUACUUAGACAAUGGAUGUUUUGACUCUGCCCACCAAGUGUUCGAUGAAAUGUCGAGUCGAGAUGUUGUCUCCUAUAAUAUCAUGAUUGUUGGACUUGCUAAGAUGGGAGACAUUUUAGAAGUGUUGGAACUAUUCCAUGAUAUGAGGGCUCAUGGUUUUGAGCCUGAUGAUAUCACUAUGUUGGGCCUCUUCUUGUCAUGUGGGCAGUUGGGUGAGGUAAAGUUGGGAAAAUCUGUUCAUGCACAGAUUGUGAAGUCCAAUGGUUCUUCAAAUUUGAUAUUGUAUAAUGCCCUUUUGGACAUGUAUGUGAAGUGCAAUGAAUUGAAGCUUGCUCGAAAAGUUUUUGAUAUGUUGAUGGAGAAGGACGUGGUUUCAUGGAAUACGAUGAUUGCAGGAUAUGCCAAGGUAGGUGAAUUGGAACUUGCUUGUGAGGUUUUUAAUCAGAUUCCUACAAGAGAUAUUGUCUCCUGGAACUCUUUAAUUUCUGGUUAUGCACAGAGUGGUGAUUAUGUGAUGGUCAAAAGUUUGUUUACUCGUAUGUUUGCAGAGAAUGUUAAACCCGACAAGGUCACGACGGUUAACAUGAUCUCUGCAGUAGCAGAAAUGGGAGCUUUAGAUCAGGGGAGAUGGAUUCAUGGAUUAGCAGUGAAAACUCAGAGCCUAAAUGCAUUUUUAGGCUCUGCAUUGAUUGACAUGUACUGCAAGUGUGGAAGCAUCGAAAGAGCUUCAGUUGUUUUCAAUCAAAUUGCUGAAAAAGAUGUCACAAUUUGGACAACAAUGAUCACUGGAUUUGCCUUUCAUGGAUAUGGAAACAAAGCUCUGGAACUAUUCUCUGAUAUGCAGACCGAAACAAAGCCUAACAAUGUGACUUUUGUUUCAGUUCUCACAGCAUGUAGCCACAGCGGAUUAGUUGAUGAAGGGCUCAAAAUAUUUAGCAGCAUGAAGAAAAGAUACAGUAUCGAACCAGGGGUCGAACAUUAUGGAUGUUUGGUCGAUCUGUUGUGUCGUUCAGGUAGGUUGUCGGAUGCGAUUGGUGUCAUAGAAAAGAUGCCUAUGGAACCCAGUCAGUCUAUCUGGGGAGCAGUACUGAGUGCGUGUAGGAUGCACGGAAAUAUGGAACUAGCAGAGAAAGCUUUGAUGGAGCUGCUCAAAUUCGAGCCCGAAAAAGAGGGCGGAUACAUUUUGUUGUCUAACAUGUAUGCGACGUGUGGGAGGUGGAGACAUUCGGACAGCAUUAGAGAAGUAAUGAACAGCAGGGGAGUGAAAAAGAUUGCUGGCUGUAGUAGUGUGGUGGUAGAUGGUACGGUCCAUGAUUUUACAGCUGCAAAUAAGCAGCAUCCAAGAUGGAUGGACAUCUGCUCUACGCUAAGCUUUCUAACAAGUGAAAUGAAGUUGGAACCGGAUGUUCCAUAACAAGAUCACUUGGCUAACAGUUGAAAUUAGUUGAAAGGUUUCAAGAGCUCGGUUGAAAAGAAAUGUCACCAAGGGACUCAACCGCCUUAGCAAUAAAGCUUCCUCCGUCUUAUCAUACCUCCAGCAAACAAACUUCAGGGGAGUUCAACAAUUUUUGUCUCUUUGCCGGUGAUAUGAACUUUUGAUCCCAUAUCGUGAAUAGGAGAAGUUUCUCGUAGUCUGUGCUAUUUGAUUCACUUGGCUAACCGUUGAAAUUUGUCGAAAGGUUUGAAGAGCUCAGAUUUGAAUAUUGAUCUCAACUUGAAUUCAUUCUUUGGGUCAAUGAAGGAAGUAGUACUUUUUGUAAGUGUUGUUUGCUCCUCACGUCGAGUCACUUGGAGUCGUACUUGGCACCACCGAACGAUGUGUUGCUAACAAUUUUUAUUGGUUAAUCCACAAAGAAGAUUACAAAGAUCAUGAUAGUUGCCGGAAACGGGUAUGCCCUUCUUAAUCUUUUUAGGGAAAGAGACACGCUGAUGAGUAGUUGGAUGGAGUUUGUCUUCUGAAUACAGGUUUGAUUAAAUUGAUAUAUCGAUGUAAAUGCAUCCCUGAAUCAGAGAUAUGAACAUACAUAUUUGUUUAUGAAAUAAUUGACAGCAAUUCCUUCUAGGAAUUGACUUUUCA